CUCAUCAUAGUUUAUUAAAACAUUGAUUUGCAAAAUCAAAAUAGGAGCAAAUCCUGGUGUGU
rnacentral:tRNA from 1 species